CCAGACAGGUGGUGCGUGGUUGUCGUCAGCUCGUGUCGUGAGAUGUUGGGUUAAGUCCCGCAACGAGCGCAACCCUUGUAUUCAGUUGCUACGCAAGAGCACUCUGGAUAGACUGCCGUUGACAAAACGGAGGAAGGUGGGGAUGACGUCAAAUCAUCAUGCCCCUUACGACCUGGGCCACACACGUACUACAAUGGCGCACAACAGAGGGAAGCAAGACAGCGAUGUGGAGCAAACCCCUAAAAUGCGUCCCAGUUCAGAUUGCAGGCUGCAACCCGCCUGCAUGAAGUCGGAAUUGCUAGUAAUCGCGGAUCAGCAUGCCGCGGUGAAUACGUUCCCGGGCCUUGUACACACCGCCCGUCACACCAUGGGAGCCGGUAACACCCGAAGUCAGUAGCCUGACCGCAAGGAGGGCGCUGCCGAAGGUGGGAUUGGUGACUGGGGUGAAGUCGUAACAAGGUAGCCGUAUCGGAAGGUGCGGCUGGAUCACCUC
rnacentral:rRNA from 1 species